UACAGAGGGUGCAAGCGUUAAUCGGAAUUACUGGGCGUAAAGCGUGCGUAGCCGGUUAUGUAAGUCGGGUGUGAAAGCCCCGGGCUCAACCUGGGAAUGCCAUUCGAGACUGCAUAGCUAGGGUGCGGAAGAGGGAAGCGGAAUUUCCGGUGUAGCGGUGAAAUGCGUAGAUAUCCGGAGGAACACCGGUGGCGAAGGCGGCUUCCUGGACCGACACUGACGCUGAGGCGCGAAAGCUAGGGGAGCAAACGGG
rnacentral:rRNA from 1 species